AAGCAUAAAUGGUUCAGAUCUAAAAAACGGGAUGGGCUGAGAAGACGAUGGUGGAAAACAUGAACUAUUAAGCUGGAAUCUGAGAGUUCAAAUAGUUUGGAUGUUGUAAGGGGAUUUGAAUAUCUCCAUAAUGGGUGCGCAGGUCGGAAUACUACGAAGGGGGUGAAUGAUGACGUCAUA